UUAAGCGACUAAGCGUACACGGUGGAUGCCCUGGCAGUCAGAGGCGAUGAAGGACGUGCUAAUCUGCGAUAAGCGUCGGUAAGGUGAUAUGAACCGUUAUAACCGGCGAUUUCCGAAUGGGGAAACCCAGUGUGUUUCGACACACUAUCAUUAACUGAAUCCAUAGGUUAAUGAGGCGAACCGGGGGAACUGAAACAUCUAAGUACCCCGAGGAAAAGAAAUCAACCGAGAUUCCCCCAGUAGCGGCGAGCGAACGGGGAGCAGCCCAGAGCCUGAAUCAGUGUGUGUGUUAGUGGAAGCGUCUGGAAAGGCGCGCGAUACAGGGUGACAGCCCCGUACACAAAAAUGCACAUAUUGUGAGCUCGAUGAGUAGGGCGGGACACGUGGUAUCCUGUCUGAAUAUGGGGGGACCAUCCUCCAAGGCUAAAUACUCCUGACUGACCGAUAGUGAACCAGUACCGUGAGGGAAAGGCGAAAAGAACCCCGGCGAGGGGAGUGAAAAAGAACCUGAAACCGUGUACGUACAAGCAGUGGGAGCACGCUUAGGCGUGUGACUGCGUACCUUUUGUAUAAUGGGUCAGCGACUUAUAUUCUGUAGCAAGGUUAACCGAAUAGGGGAGCCGAAGGGAAACCGAGUCUUAACUGGGCGUUAAGUUGCAGGGUAUAGACCCGAAACCCGGUGAUCUAGCCAUGGGCAGGUUGAAGGUUGGGUAACACUAACUGGAGGACCGAACCGACUAAUGUUGAAAAAUUAGCGGAUGACUUGUGGCUGGGGGUGAAAGGCCAAUCAAACCGGGAGAUAGCUGGUUCUCCCCGAAAGCUAUUUAGGUAGCGCCUCGUGAAUUCAUCUCCGGGGGUAGAGCACUGUUUCGGCAAGGGGGUCAUCCCGACUUACCAACCCGAUGCAAACUGCGAAUACCGGAGAAUGUUAUCACGGGAGACACACGGCGGGUGCUAACGUCCGUCGUGAAGAGGGAAACAACCCAGACCGCCAGCUAAGGUCCCAAAGUCAUGGUUAAGUGGGAAACGAUGUGGGAAGGCCCAGACAGCCAGGAUGUUGGCUUAGAAGCAGCCAUCAUUUAAAGAAAGCGUAAUAGCUCACUGGUCGAGUCGGCCUGCGCGGAAGAUGUAACGGGGCUAAACCAUGCACCGAAGCUGCGGCAGCGACGCUUAUGCGUUGUUGGGUAGGGGAGCGUUCUGUAAGCCUGUGAAGGUGUGCUGUGAGGCAUGCUGGAGGUAUCAGAAGUGCGAAUGCUGACAUAAGUAACGAUAAAGCGGGUGAAAAGCCCGCUCGCCGGAAGACCAAGGGUUCCUGUCCAACGUUAAUCGGGGCAGGGUGAGUCGACCCCUAAGGCGAGGCCGAAAGGCGUAGUCGAUGGGAAACAGGUUAAUAUUCCUGUACUUGGUGUUACUGCGAAGGGGGGACGGAGAAGGCUAUGUUGGCCGGGCGACGGUUGUCCCGGUUUAAGCGUGUAGGCUGGUUUUCCAGGCAAAUCCGGAAAAUCAAGGCUGAGGCGUGAUGACGAGGCACUACGGUGCUGAAGCAACAAAUGCCCUGCUUCCAGGAAAAGCCUCUAAGCAUCAGGUAACAUCAAAUCGUACCCCAAACCGACACAGGUGGUCAGGUAGAGAAUACCAAGGCGCUUGAGAGAACUCGGGUGAAGGAACUAGGCAAAAUGGUGCCGUAACUUCGGGAGAAGGCACGCUGAUAUGUAGGUGAAGCGACUUGCUCGUGGAGCUGAAAUCAGUCGAAGAUACCAGCUGGCUGCAACUGUUUAUUAAAAACACAGCACUGUGCAAACACGAAAGUGGACGUAUACGGUGUGACGCCUGCCCGGUGCCGGAAGGUUAAUUGAUGGGGUUAGCGCAAGCGAAGCUCUUGAUCGAAGCCCCGGUAAACGGCGGCCGUAACUAUAACGGUCCUAAGGUAGCGAAAUUCCUUGUCGGGUAAGUUCCGACCUGCACGAAUGGCGUAAUGAUGGCCAGGCUGUCUCCACCCGAGACUCAGUGAAAUUGAACUCGCUGUGAAGAUGCAGUGUACCCGCGGCAAGACGGAAAGACCCCGUGAACCUUUACUAUAGCUUGACACUGAACAUUGAGCCUUGAUGUGUAGGAUAGGUGGGAGGCUUAGAAGUGUGGACGCCAGUCUGCAUGGAGCCGACCUUGAAAUACCACCCUUUAAUGUUUGAUGUUCUAACGUUGACCCGUAAUCCGGGUUGCGGACAGUGUCUGGUGGGUAGUUUGACUGGGGCGGUCUCCUCCUAAAGAGUAACGGAGGAGCACGAAGGUUGGCUAAUCCUGGUCGGACAUCAGGAGGUUAGUGCAAUGGCAUAAGCCAGCUUGACUGCGAGCGUGACGGCGCGAGCAGGUGCGAAAGCAGGUCAUAGUGAUCCGGUGGUUCUGAAUGGAAGGGCCAUCGCUCAACGGAUAAAAGGUACUCCGGGGAUAACAGGCUGAUACCGCCCAAGAGUUCAUAUCGACGGCGGUGUUUGGCACCUCGAUGUCGGCUCAUCACAUCCUGGGGCUGAAGUAGGUCCCAAGGGUAUGGCUGUUCGCCAUUUAAAGUGGUACGCGAGCUGGGUUUAGAACGUCGUGAGACAGUUCGGUCCCUAUCUGCCGUGGGCGCUGGAGAACUGAGGGGGGCUGCUCCUAGUACGAGAGGACCGGAGUGGACGCAUCACUGGUGUUCGGGUUGUCAUGCCAAUGGCACUGCCCGGUAGCUAAAUGCGGAAGAGAUAAGUGCUGAAAGCAUCUAAGCACGAAACUUGCCCCGAGAUGAGUUCUCCCUGACUCCUUGAGAGUCCUGAAGGAACGUUGAAGACGACGACGUUGAUAGGCCGGGUGUGUAAGCGCAGCGAUGCGUUGAGCUAACCGGUACUAAUGAACCGUGAGGCUUAACCUU
rnacentral:rRNA from 1 species